rnacentral:rRNA from 1 species
UACGAAGGGGGCUAGCGUUGCUCGGAAUCACUGGGCGUAAAGCGCACGUAGGCGGCUUCUUAAGUCAGGGGGGAAAUCCUGGAGCUCAACUCCAGAACUGCCUUUGAUACUGAGGAGCUCGAGUCCGGAAGAGGUGAGUGGAACUGCGAGUGUAGAGGUGAAAUUCGUAGAUAUUCGCAAGAACACCAGUGGCGAAGGCGGCUCACUGGUCCGGUACUGACGCUGAGGUGCGAAAGCGUGGGGAGCAAACAGG